UAAUACAUUGAAGAGUACUGGUAACUCAUCCCUAACCCUAGCCGGUGGGACAGGACAUCACCAUUCACCGUUUGCAUUGUACAUGAUACGAUCAACACCCAAACGACAGGCUCUCAUCUCUGGAGAAACAGUUCGCACGUUCCCUCGCCGGUUUUCAUUUCGGUUCCCCGAGGCCCGGCCUCCAGCCCGCCCCCGCCCAGCAGCGGUUCGGGCAGCGCCCCCGGCCCCGCCAAGGUCCGGGGCGGGCCGGCCCGGCCCCACCGCCCGUCCCGCUGUGCAGCUCCGCGCACCACACUUUGAACUAAAGAUCCUUCGUUGAAUUUGGAAAGAACCUUAUUCUGAAUGAGGCUGACUGCUCCUCUUCACGGUUGCCUGAGGACAGAGACACUUCAACCAACACGGAGAUGGUGGAGUAUGUCUUUUUGUUAUGUGAUUUGCAGUUGUAGCAUUAUGGAGAACAGUGGUGGCAAGUGGAGGAUUUGCUCUGCCCCUGCUGCAGUUGAGGGGGGGCCUGAUAGAGAGAGCCCCUCAGCAUCAGGAUGAGCAGGGACACAUCUGUGCUGGGUCAGGUCAGCAGCACACGGGCAGGGAAGGGCUCAUGAAGAGCUGCCUUCUCCUGUGCCCGUCCUCUGCAGGCGUUCAACCAAGAGCACCAGCUGUGAGAAUCCUCUAAAAGCUCUAAAGAGCACCAGGAGGAACUUCUGAAACAUCUCACCCACCUUCCCCAAGGAGUCAACAGCCAAACUGAAAGAGCAGCGAGCCUCCGCAGAUCACUUACUGGCAGCUGCUGCACCAUAUAUUCCUGAUAUUAAAAAAAUUUCCUCAGGACCCACUUGCAGUCUGGUGAUUAUUAUGGUCAGGAAAGAGUUGCUUUGCUGAUCUUUCUGGAUAUGGACUCUCAGUCUUAGGGCUGGCAGAGCUUCAUCAUUCUUUAAGGAGCGGGUCAUUCCUCUGCAAAAACGGUGCCUCAUGUCAGGCCCAUCAACGCCCUGGCCUGGACAGUGUGGCAUCGGCGGGUCACAUUUUCAAGAGGACUUGCACCCAUCCUGCCUUGGCUGGAAGAAGAUGCUCACCACGCACAGCACCAUGCUGUGUGCCCUGGGCAGCUCUCCCAGACACCUGCAGGGUACGGUUGCUGACCUGGCCGUGACUGACUGUAGCUCCACGGAAAAUGGAGUGUUGGCUAAGACUGCACUGUGACUGCUUGUGACCAGAGGCUGUGGACGAAGAGGCCCGAGGUGACCCCAGGAUCUCAUGUGCUUGUAACCUCCGGAUGUCUGGGUAGCAAUUGCUGGUUAUCCAAGUACUGGAAGAGUGAGUUGUGUUUCCUGGUGUGGAUCCCACCGAAGGAUCAUCCGAGUGUCUGCCAGCACCACUGGAUUUUGGCCUUGCAAGUCACUCUACCAUGCCAGGCCAUCAGUGGUCUGAAGACCAAGCUUAGCUGCCAUAAUCAAGAACACAGAAAAGCUGGUUGCAGUCUGGUUUAAGCUAACCAACAAUAUUUCUGCAGUUCCCUAUUCUUGCAGCCACAGAGGCAAGAGAAAAGACAGAACAUUUCUCCUGAGAAAAAACAGAGACUUCCUCGGGUGAUGGGCGCAUCCUGCCCUCUGAACACAAGGCCACCAAAGGAGUCUGCACUCCACAAUUCACAUUUUCUGUUUUCUUUACUUUAUGGUCACUGAUCUCCCUCUCCCACAGCCCUUCAGCUGCCAGUCUCCCCACCCAUCACAAACCCUUUCUUUCCACGUCUUCCAUUCCUGGCUGUACAGAUCCAUAUAUCAUUCAUACCAACAUUGUCCUUGUCAAUCACAUACAUGCUGACCGGAAUUCUUUCUGAAGAAAAACUAAAAAUACUCAUAAUUAUGUGGCUGUGGAAUCACUCCUUGUUUUAAGAAUUAAGUUCUUUUUCAGUUAUUUUUUAACCUUUCAUUGAUCAAUGUGAAAGUCCUUGCUGUAUUUCUUUCAGCCAUUAAAUCAAGAAAACUCCUCAAGACAUAAAUAUGAAUUGUUACUCAGCAUUUCAGGCUUUCCUUUGCUGUCACCUUCCCUGUAUUUGCAUAUGGCACACAAACACUGUGCUGUGAAAAGAUGGUAUUUGUAUCACAGUGGGAUGGAGGAAAGAAGAAAACCUUCCUCACCAGUUUCUGCCUGGAUUUGUAUAAGGUCACCUUGUCACCAAGCUGUUAAAGAGCCUUUCAGAAGCACCUGAAUGUCUUCACAGUUUCUUUAAAUAAUAGUGGGUGAAAUCCAGGAGGGCCUUUGGUAGCAAACUGUGAUGGUGACUGAUUUAAUACCUAUGAUUUGCUAUAUAAUCUCCUAUUUGCUAUGAAUCAUUGUGACUAAGGUAGUGUCAGAAGUAUAGGAGUUGCGGACCUGAAAGGACCUGCAUAUUGUUCCUGGGGGAAAGUAUUAUCACAUAGCAUCAUCUGUGAAGAAUUACUAAAACUUCUCUUCAUCAUAUUUUCCCAAGACAUACUUAAGAAUAUAUAGAUACAUGCAUGCAUACCUGGUUUUAUAUAUAUAUGUAUGGGUAUAUAUGUAUGUAUACACACUCUCGUAAACAUAUAUUAUAUAUUAUAUAUACUAUAUAUUAUGUAUUAUACAUUUUAUAGAUACUUAUCUAAUGGAAAAACAGUCAUUGUGUUUAGAAUUUACUUCAUGUAUUUGGGGGGAAUCCUUUGACACAUGGUAUACUGAACUAUUAUUGUUAAUUGAAAUUUGUGUGC